GACGAACGCUGGCGGCGUGCUUAACACAUGCAAGUCGAACGGAAAGGCCCUGCUUUUGUGGGGUGCUCGAGUGGCGAACGGGUGAGUAACACGUGAGUAACCUGCACUUGACUGUGGGAUAACUUCAGGAAACUGGGGCGAAUAUCGGAGAGGAGCUCCUGCUGCAUGGGGGGGGUUGGAAAGUUUCGGCGGUUGGGGAUGGAAUCGCGGCUUAUCAGCUUGUUGGUGGGGUAGUGGCUUACCAAGGCUAUGACGGGUAGCCGGCCUGAGAGGGUGACCGGCCACAUGGGGACUGAGAUACGGCCCAGAAUCCUACGGGAGGCAGCAGGGGGGAAUAUUGCACAAUGGGCGGAAGCCAGAUGCAGCAACGCCGCGUGCGUGAUGACGGCCUUCGGGUUAUAAACCGCUUUCGCCUGUGCCGAAGCCUGAUUGACGGUAAUGGGUAAAGAAGCACCGGCUAACUACGUG
rnacentral:rRNA from 1 species